UACAGAGGUGGCAAGCGUUGUUCGGAAUUACUGGGCGUAAAGGGCGCGUAGGCGGCCUUCUAAGUCAGACGUGAAAUCCCCCGGCUUAACCUGGGAACUGCGUCUGAUACUGGGAGGCUCGAGUAUGGGAGAGGGAUGUAGAAUUCCAGGUGUAGCGGUGAAAUGCGUAGAUAUCUGGAGGAACACCGAUGGCGAAGGCAGGUCUCUGGGCAUUAACUGACGCUGAGGAGCGAAAGCAUGGGGAGCGAACAGG
rnacentral:rRNA from 1 species